GUGCUAGCCGCCGCGGUAAUACGGAGGGUGCAAGCGUUGUCCGGAAUCACUGGGCGUAAAGGGUGCGCAGGCGGGGCAGCAAGUCGGAGGUGAAAGCCCAUGGCUCAACCAUGGAAGUGCCUUCGAAACUGCUGCUCUUGAGUCCCGGGGAGGUUGUCGGAAUUCGUGGUGUAGCGGUGAAAUGCGUAGAUAUCACGAGGAACACCAGAGGCGAAAGCGGACAACUGGACGGGUACUGACGCUCAGGCACGAAAGCGUGGGGAGCAAACAGGAUUAGAAACCCUGGUAGUCC
rnacentral:rRNA from 1 species